rnacentral:rRNA from 1 species
UUAAAUUGAAGAGUUUGAUCAUGGCUCAGAUUGAACGCUGGUGGCAGGCCUAACACAUGCAAGUCGAACGGUAACAGGAAGCAGCUUGCUGCUUUGCUGACGAGUGGCGGACGGGUGAGUAAUGUCUGGGAAACUGCCUGAUGGAGGGGGAUAACUACUGGAA